rnacentral:lncRNA from 1 species
AGUAACACUCUGGGAGGGCUCAGGCCACAUCACGAAAUGUGACAGGAUAGCCUUGAACUCAUCAAUUGCUGGGGGCACCUCAAACUCAACUCCAAAAUUGAUCUAAUGAACUUUCCCAAACCACAUUCCCUUCUUGCAUUUCUGAGAGAAUGGAUUCCCAUUCAUCUGACUACAGUGCUACCCUGAAAGCAGAUCCAGAGACUAAGAUUCACCUGCAGGUGAUUCAUUUGCAAGGUAAGCUGUCAUCAGUUGGAGGUAAGCAGAAGACAGUAGAGAGUACAGAGCCCUGGACUGUGACUCAGAGGAUGAGCACCAGAUCCAGUUUGCUGUGCCACAGUGCUCAGCAUGAUGUAAACUCCACUGCGGACAGAUGCAGCCAAGAAGACAGGUCACCUUCUACCAACUCCCACCAGAGGAAACUCUUCCCCAGGACCCAGUACGUUGGCCCUCUGACCCUGCACACAGCACAUGAUGCUGAGGUUCAGUGCUGAACAAGAGCUACUGAGAGCCAGAGAUUCACUUCUUCCAUGGAGCCCCACUCAUGGAUGGAGGCUCUGUCCCGGGUCCAGUGCCACUGGGAACACUGGGUCUCUGGUUUCUAGCUCUGUCCUAUGGCAGAGGUUCCACCCCACAAUAACCGAAGUGCUGAGAAGGUGGGAAGCUCCUGCCCGACCCUCCACUGAGAGCUCAGCUCCUAGGCUGAGGAAUAAAACAGCUCAACUUUGUCUACACCUGCAGAACCUUGUUUAGGAGCUCUGUCCCAGGAGAGAGGGGGCAAUGGAAUUCAGUCAUAAAAUAUGAUCCUUAAUUAGUCCUAAAAAUCCUAACUUCAGUAACAGCAGAUUGUGGACAAAUUGAAAGCCUGCCAGUGCUCUCAAAAACAGUGGAUGGUGUGGUGGAAAGCCCUUGGAAGGAGACGGGUGGAUGCAUGGGAGAUGCAGGCUACACUGCAGGGCUGCUGGCUUGCAGGAGAGAACCGAGGACAAGGGAGAGCUGGGGAAAGUUCUCUUGUGGUUGAAAUAAAUGCCAGACACUCUUCAAUGGA